UACGAAGGGGGCUAGCGUUGCUCGGAAUCACUGGGCGUAAAGGGUGCGUAGGCGGGUCUUUAAGUCAGAGGUGAAAUCCUGGAGCUCAACUCCAGAACUGCCUUUGAUACUGAGGGUCUUGAGUAUGACAGAGGUGAGUGGAACUGCGAGUGUAGAGGUGAAAUUCGUAGAUAUUCGCAAGAACACCAGUGGCGAAGGCGGCUCACUGGCCCGAUACUGACGCUGAGGCACGAAAGCGUGGGGAGCAAACAGG
rnacentral:rRNA from 1 species